GCUGUUGUGGCUCAGUUGGCAGAGCACGUCCUUGGUAAGGACGAGGUCGUCAGUUCGAAUCUGAUCAACAGCUCCA
rnacentral:tRNA from 1 species